rnacentral:rRNA from 1 species
AUUGAACGCUGGCGGCAGGCCUAACACAUGCAAGUCGAGCGGUAGAGAGAGGCUUGCUUCUCUUGAGAGCGGCGGACGGGUGAGUAAUGCCUAGGAAUCUGCCUGGUAGUGGGGGAUAACGUUCGGAAACGGACGCUAAUACCGCAUACGUCCUACGGGAGAAAGCAGGGGACCUUCGGGCCUUGCGCUAUCAGAUGAGCCUAGGUCGGAUUAGCUAGUUGGUGAGGUAAUGGCUCACCAAGGCUACGAUCCGUAACUGGUCUGAGAGGAUGAUCAGUCACACUGGAACUGAGACACGGUCCAGACUCCUACGGGAGGCAGCAGUGGGGAAUAUUGGACAAUGGGCGAAAGCCUGAUCCAGCCAUGCCGCGUGUGUGAAGAAGGUCUUCGGAUUGUAAAGCACUUUAAGUUGGGAGGAAGGGCAGUUACCUAAUACGUAAUUGUUUUGACGUUACCGACAGAAUAAGCACCGGCUAACUCUGUGCCAGCAGCCGCGGUAAUACAGAGGGUGCAAGCGUUAAUCGGAAUUACUGGGCGUAAAGCGCGCGUAGGUGGUUUGUUAAGUUGAAUGUGAAAUCCCCGGGCUCAACCUGGGAACUGCAUCCAAAACUGGCAAGCUAGAGUAUGGUAGAGGGUGGUGGAAUUUCCUGUGUAGCGGUGAAAUGCGUAGAUAUAGGAAGGAACACCAGUGGCGAAGGCGACCACCUGGACUGAUACUGACACUGAGGUGCGAAAGCGUGGGGAGCAAACA